GAUUAUGGCUCAGGACGAACGCUGGCGGCGUGCUUAACACAUGCAAGUCGAGCGAUGAAGCUCUUCGGGAGUGGAUUAGCGGCGGACGGGUGGGUAACACGUGGGUAACCUGCCUCAUAGAGGGGAAUAGCCUUCCGAAAGGAAGAUUAAUACCGCAUAAGAUUGUAAUAUCGCAUGAUUUAGCAAUUAAAGGAGCAAUCCGCUAUGAGAUGGACCCGCGUCGCAUUAGCUAGUUGGUGAGGUAACGGCUCACCAAGGCGACGAUGCGUAGCCGACCUGAGAGGGUGAUCGGCCACAUUGGGACUGAGACACGGCCCAGACUCCUACGGGAGGCAGCAGUGGGGAAUAUUGCACAAUGGGGGAAACCCUGAUGCAGCCAACGCCGCGUGAGUGAUGACGGUCUUCGGAUUGUAAAGCUCCGUCUUCAGGGACGAUAAUGACGGUACCUGAGGAGGAAGCCACGGCUAACUACGUGCCAGCAGCAGC
rnacentral:rRNA from 1 species